CACAAACCAGGAGAAAUAUUGAUUCUGUCUGCUAGGCUUUGGGCAACAGUGGGGUAGUGACUCUUGAGAAAGAAUUCAACAUGCCCAUGAGCCUGUGACUUUCAUACCAGGACACCGUCCUUGGGUGGGAUUGGGACUCUCAUUCACAGAUCCGAUAUAUCAUUGAAAUGGUGAGUCCUGUACUUGCACAUAACUCACAGGAGGUGUUGACUCUCAUAACUAAAGCUGAGACAUGUGCAGAAUUAU
rnacentral:lncRNA from 1 species